rnacentral:tRNA from 1 species
GCAUCGAUAGCUCAAUUGGUUAGAGCAGGGGCCUCUUAAGCCCAAGGUUCUGGGUUCGAUUCCCAGUCGAUGCACCA